GUGACGAGGAAAGCAGCUGCCUUCCGCCCCCUACCGGGCUGAGCUGUGGGUGCAGCUGCCUGGAGCUGCUGGGGCUUGGGGCCGGCGUAGGGCGGCUCCAUAAUGGGGAAGCAGGUGCCUCCCUGUCCCCACAGGCAGGAGCGGCAGCGGGAUGCUGCAGCUAAGAGUCUAGAGCACAGCCCUGCAAUACAGCCUGGGGUGCAUCUUCUGCAGCAAAGUUCCUGGCUGUGGAGUGGGGCUGAUUAUCAUCGCUCUUGGGCUACUUUGUCCCAGUGCAAAGGAUCCCGGGGUACAAGGUGACGUGGAACAAGACUCCCCCAGCAGGAUGGCACAGCGAGGCACAAUGCCACAGUUUAAGUAGCUGCCACAUGCACUACCCCCUUUCUGGGCUAGCUCUUCCACUUGGGUUUGAAGAACCAGGUCUCAACAACAGGCCCACUUGUUGCUGCACAUCCGCUAGGGUGGCUGCUCCCUAAUUAAUAAAUAAGGCUACCUUUUAGUCACAGCUAUUUAUAGUAAAAGUCACGGACAG